AAACUAACAAGGAUUCCCCUAGUAACUGCGAGUGAAGAGGGAAAAGCUCAAAUUUAAAAUCUGGUAGGCUCUGCUUGCCCGAGUUGUAAUCUGGAGAAGCAUUUUCCGCGUCAGACCGUGUACAAGUCUCUUGGAAUAGAGCGUCAUAGAGGGUGAGAAUCCCGUCCAUGACACGGACUACUGAUGCUUUGUGAUAUGCUCUCAAAGAGUCGAGUUGUUUGGGAAUGCAGCUCAAAAUGGGUGGUAAGUUCCAUCUAAAGCUAAAUAUUGGCGAGAGACCGAUAGCGAACAAGUACCGUGAGGGAAAGAUGAAAAGCACUUUGGAAAGAGAGUUAAACAGUACGUGAAAUUGUUGAAAGGGAAACGCUUGAAGUCAGUCGCGUUUUCUGAGACUCAGCCUUGCUCUUUUGCUUGGUGUACUUCUCAGUUUACGGGUCAACAUCAAUUUCAGUUGGUGGAUAAAGGUAUUGGGAAUGUGGCACCUCCGGGUGUGUUAUAGCCCUUUGCUGCAUACACUGACUGGGAUUGAGGAACGCAGCACGCCUUCAUGGCCGGGGGUUCGCCUCACGUAACGUGCUUAGGAUGUUGGCAUAAUGGCUUUAAGCGACCCGUCU
rnacentral:rRNA from 1 species